UACGGGGGGGGGCAAGCGUUGUUCGGAAUUACUGGGCGUAAAGGGUUCGUAGGUGGCCAACUUAGUCAGACGUGAAAUCCCCAGCUCAACCUGGGAACUGCGUCUGAUACUGGAUGGCUUGAAUCCGGGAGAGGGAUGCAGAAUUCCAGGUGUAGCGGUGAAAUGCGUAGAUAUCUGGAGGAAUACCGGUGGCGAAGGCGGCAUCCUGGACCGGCAUUGACGCUGAGGAGCGAAAGCUAGGGGAGCAAACGGG
rnacentral:rRNA from 1 species